CAGCCGCCGCGGGAAUACGUAGGUCCCGAGCGUUGUCCGGAUUUAUUGGGCGUAAAGGGAGCGCAGGCGGUCAGGAAAGUCUGGAGUAAAAGGCUAUGGCUCAACCAUAGUGUGCUCUGGAAACUGUCUGACUUGAGUGCAGAAGGGGAGAGUGGAAUUCCAUGUGUAGCGGUGAAAUGCGUAGAUAUGUGGAGGAACACCAGUGGCGAAGGCGACUCUCUGGUCUGUAACUGACGCUGAGGCUCGAAAGCGUGGGUAGCAAACAGGAUUAGAUACCCCCGUAGUCCCUGUCUCUUAUACA
rnacentral:rRNA from 1 species